rnacentral:lncRNA from 1 species
AAAAUAAGCUUCAUUUUCUUCAUACAAAAUAUAUAUUUUUAUUUAAUUUCUUCUGAUUGUGUGCUAAAAAUAUGACCUGGACAUGUGUUGAUGAGAUCCAUCCGUGUCCCAGGAUGAAGUGAAGAGUUUUUUCAGCGCUGCAUUGCUUGCUCUGCAGGUCAGGUCUCAUUUGUGUUCUGUUUUCUUGCCUUAAAUCCGCGCCGGCAUGCGCAGAGGAAUGAUUGACAGGUUUACUUGUCUGUAGCUCCGCCCCCUCCCCUUGAAUUCAGUGACACAGAAACAUGUGCAAGAAAAACGCAGUGUGAAAUGACUGCAAGGCAGCACAGAGCUGCAGACUCCCGCUGUUUGUCCUUGAAUUGUUAUUCACACAUUAACCAGUGAGUGUUCAGAUUAAAAUACUCUUCAUAAUAGUUGUGCAGUGUGUGUGCAUGUGUGUGUUUAUAUUUUCUGUAUACACAGUGCUUACACUGUUUGGGUUAAUGUAUCCCAUGAUGCAAUGCACUCGACUUGACCUUCAUCUUCCUGUGUGACAACUGAACUGGAUUCUUUAUUUAACCAGACUGCCAUAAGACAUGUUUAUAAAAAAUUGCAUAAAAAUGUAAAAUAACCAUAUUUAUUUCAAUGAAUCAGAACUUAAUGAGGUAAUGUGACAGCAUUGUUACAUUCAUUGCAUGCUCAUGUUUGCACUUUCUCACAGAUAUAGACUGUUAUUAGGCUUUUCUUUUAUUGUUUUAUUACCAAAUAAUCGUAUUUGUUUUAAAAUAAUCUGCAUUCAUCAUAAUGUCUCUUUCUUCCUCUCUUGUUAUAGACGCUGCUUUUAAGAAGACCUGCAUAACCGAGAUGCCGUCUUCCUCGUGUCACUCCAGCUCUGGCCCUGAGAAGAAGAUCGGUCACCGGCGGGUCGAUGCAUCCGGUGAAACCACCUACAAGAAGGUGCGUCUUCUUCAGUCUCCCAUGAGCUUCACGGUGUCUCGAUCUCAUCUGGCAAUUUUGUCAAUUUCAAUCACAAUGUCGGUCAUCUUUUACCUCAGGCUGCUGAUAUAUACAGCGUGGUCCAAAAGCGUCCAUGAUGGACAUCUAGGUUUUUUUUAAAUCCUGGAAAUCAUCAGAAAGCUUUAGGAUUUUGAAAACAAAUUUUUGACUUUAUUGCAUACAGU